AUUGAACGCUGGCGGCCGGCCUAACACAUGCCAGUCUUACGAGUGGCGGACGGGUGCGUAAUGUCUGGGAAACUGCCUGAUGGUGGGGGAUAACUACUGGAAACGGUAGCUAAUACCGCAUACCAUUAGAUGUGCCCAGCUGGGCUUAGCGAGUUGGUGGGGUAACGGCUCCCCAAGGCCACGAUCCCUAGCUGGUCUGAGAGGAUGACCAGCCAGCCGGUAACUGAGAGACAGUCAAGAAUCCUACGGUAGGAAGCAGUGGGAAAUAUUGCACAAUGGGCGCAAGCCUGAUGCAGCCAUGCCGCGUGUAUGAAGAAGGCGUUCGGGUUGUAAAGUACUUUCAGCGGGGAGGCGUAACCCGCAGAAGAAGCACCGGCUAACUCCGUGCCAGCAGCCGCGGUAAUAC
rnacentral:rRNA from 1 species